UUAGAGUUUGAUCCUGGCUCAGGACGAACGCUGGCGGCGUGCCUAACACAUGCAAGUCGAGCGGGGACUUGGGAGCUUGCUUCCGGGUUCUAGCGGCGGACGGGUGAGUAACGCGUGAGCAACCUGCCCAUUACAGGGGGAUAGCCUUCCGAAAGGGAGAUUAAGACCGCAUAAGACCACGCUUCGGCAUCGAAGAGAGGUUAAAUAUUUAUAGGUAAUGGAUGGGCAUGCGUGACAUUAGGUAGUUGGUGAGGUAACGGCUCACCAAGCCGACGAUGUCUAGGGGAACUGAGAGGUUGAUCCCCCACACUGGUACUGAGACACGGACCAGACUCCUACGGGAGGCAGCAGUGAGGAAUAUUGGUCAAUGGACGGAAGUCUGAACCAGCCAUCUCGCGUGCAGGAUUACAGCCCUAUGGGUUUUAAACUGCUUUUAUAAGGGGAUAAAGUCAGGUAUGCAUACCUGUUUGCAGGUACCUUAUGAAUAAGGAUCGGCUAACUACGUGCCAGCAGCCGCGGUAAUACGUAGGGGGCGAGCGUUGUCCGGAAUGAUUGGGCGUAAAGGGCGCGUAGGCGGCCUGGUAAGUCUGGAGUGAAAGUCCUGCUUUCAAGGUGGGAAUUGCUUUGGAUACUGUCGGGCUGGAGUGCAGGAGAGGUAAGCGGAAUUCCCGGUGUAGCGGUGAAAUGCGUAGAGAUCGGGAGGAACACCAGUGGCGAAGGCGGCUUACUGGACUGUAACUGACGCUGAGGCGCGAAAGCGUGGGGAGCAAACAGGAUUAGAUACCCUGGUAGUCCACGCAGUAAACGAUGAAUGCUAGCUGUUUGCGAUAUACAGUAAGUGGCUAAGGGAAACCGAUAAGCAUUCCACCUGGGGAGUACGCCGGCAACGGUGAAACUCAAAGGAAUUGACGGGGGCCCGCACAAGCGGAGGAACAUGUGGUUUAAUUCGAUGAUACGCGAGGAACCUUACCCGGGCUCGAAAGUUAGUGACGGACUUGGAAACAGGUCUUCCCGCAAGGGCACGAAACUAGGUGCUGCAUGGUUGUCGUCAGCUCGUGCCGUGAGGUGUCGGCUCAAGUGCCAUAACGAGCGCAACCCCUGUCGUCAGUUGCCAUCAUUAAGUUGGGGACUCUGGCGAGACUGCCGCCGCAAGGUGUGAGGAAGGAGGGGAUGACGUCAAAUCAGCACGGCCCUUACGUCCGGGGCGACACACGUGUUACAAUGGAUGGUACAGAGGGGCGCAAAAGGGUGACCUGGAGCAAAUCUCAGAAAGCCAUUCCCAGUUCGGAUCGGAGUCUGCAACUCGACUCCGUGAAGCUGGAUUCGCUAGUAAUCGCGCAUCAGCCAUGGCGCGGUGAAUACGUUCCCGGGCCAUGCACUCACCGCCCGUCAAG
rnacentral:rRNA from 1 species